ACGAGAUCCCUUUUUUGAUCUUCUCACCCUGUUGUGCAUUCUGAAAAAUUAUCUUUAGAUCCCUCUACCACAAAGAGUCCUUAUUACUGCAUAAUGUAUAAUAUAUUAUUGAGAUAAACAAAAAUAGUACAAGUGGUACUGAAUGAAAAGAUAAUACAAAGCACCUCUGGUGCUGCCUCCAUUUACCCAGCAAAGCUUCAUUAAAUUUAGAUAUUUCUUUAAUUCCCAAACCACCUUCCUCCUUAGGUAAGCAAAUAGCUUCCCAUUUUACCCAGGGAAUUUUCCUCCACCUCAUGUCCCACCUCCAGUUAUUAUGAUUAAAAUGUCCCAUUUGAGAGAUGUGGUCCUUUUGCUGUCUACUUAUAAGGAAAAGCUGAUUAUACUUCUGCUG
rnacentral:misc_RNA from 1 species